rnacentral:rRNA from 1 species
UGUAGUGUCAACGAUGCUGCAUACAUGUCAACUAUGGGUGUUGGAUCCAACAAUUCGCAUUGGUCUCAAACCAAUGACAUGCAUUUCGAAGACCAUGAGUUCGAGGUGGACGAGGAUGGUGAGGGCAUUGUCGACGCGCCGAAAGGAAGAGCGGGCAAUUACUCCAACACCGAUGACAUCUUACUAUGCAAUACUUGGUUGAGUGUUGAGGGAUCCAUCCAUUGGAGGUGA